UUUAGAUCGGGAACGAGUGGAGACCUCGCUGAGGAUACAAGACCUGCCGGGGAGGAAGAAAAACAAAGAGGCCUGUGAGGAAAGGGGAAGAUCUAGCACUGAGAAUGACCAGCAGUCUCAAACAGUAUUAUAGUCAUGUAUGGUUAGAUGGUGGAUGGCAUCAAUUACGACAGCAAUGAAUGCACCGCUGCGAGACCUUAAAGGCCAAGUUGAAGACAGAUCAUCUGGGAGAGAAUCUAUGUUGUCACUAAGAGUCAACACCGACUUGACGGCACUUUAUCAUUCAAUCAAUCAAUCAAUCAAUCAAUCAAUGGUUAGAUGCCCCUAUUUAAAAUGAAUUUCUCUAUUUUCAAUGUCCCCUGCUAACUGAGCAAAGAGGCACUUUUAAAAAGUGUUUAUUCUCUUUAUUUAGCAGGGGGAGAGAGCAACUGGCCCUAUCCAUUCUUAGCACAGCACCCCUCCAGUGGCUGUUGCUGGUGUCUAUCUUAUAUUUCUUUUUUAGAUUGUGAGCCCUUUGGGGACAGGGUAGCCAUUUUAUUUAUUUAUUUAUAUCCAUGUAGACUGCUUUGGGAACUUCUGAUGAAAAGUGUUAUAUAAAUAUUUGUCGUAUUCAUUGUAUUAAUUUCUUUACUCUUUACUCUGCAUUUCUUUACUCUGCAUUUCUUUAAUCUGCAUUUCAUUUUCUAUGCUUUCAUCUGAUAUUAUCAUGCUCUGUCAUUUUUAUAGAUAGAGUGUGGCUCUUGAUUGCUAAGCCAAUGGAAACAGAUGAAAUGGUUUGUUCAGUGCUCUGAUGCUUGGGCAUUAAGAUGAUGUGGUUUAGUAAUGACUGAAUCCAGUUAAGACAGAGGUACUUAUUGUGCAGGGUCAGAACUCCAGAGACGAUUUUGAUCUACCUGUUCUAGAUGGGGUCACACUUCCCAAAAGGAACAGGUUCGCAGUCUGGGAGUACCUCUGGAUCCACACCUCUCCCUGGUUUCUCAGGUUGAGGCGGUGGCCAGGGGUGCUUUCUAUCAGCUUCAGCUGAUAUGCCAGCUGUGCCCGUUUCUCGAGAUCAGUGACCUCAAAACAGUGGUACAUUUGUUCGUAACCUCCAGGCUGGACUUCUGUAAUGUGCUCUACGUGGGGCUGCCUUUGUAUGUAGUCCGGAACCUUCAGUUGGUUUAGAAUGUGGCAGCCAGGUUGGUCUCUGGGUCAUCUCGGAGAGACCACAUUACUCCCAUGUUGAUUGAGCUAUACUGGCUGCCAAUAGGUUUCCGGGCAGAAUACAAAGUGCUAGUUAUAACUUAUAAAACCCUAAAUGGCUUAGGCCCUGGGUAUUUAAGAGAAUGUCUUCUUCGUUAUGUGCCCCACCGCCUAUUGAGGUCACUUGAGGAGGUCCGUCUCCAUUUACCGCCAGCUCGUCGGGUGAUCACAUGGAGACGAGCCUUCUCGAUUGCUGCCCCGAGAUUGUGGAAUGUGCUCCCUGCUCAGAUACAAUCCUCCCCAUCUGGCAGUUUUUAAAAAAGUCUGAAGACCCAACUCUUCACCCAAGCUUUUUCAGCUUUUUUAAUUUGUAGGUUUUAAUUUUAUGCUGUUUUUAAAUUGUUAAACUGUUUUAACCUUUUAUAUUUGUUUUAAUUGUUUUUAUGUCAUUGUUAACUGCCCAGAGAUGAAAGUUUGGGCGGUAUACAAGUUAAAUAAAUACAUAAAUAAUAGUCCAGA